rnacentral:rRNA from 1 species
CCUACGGGAGGCAGCAGUGGGGAAUAUUGCACAAUGGGCGAAAGCCUGAUGCAGCAACGCCGCGUGAAGGAAGACUGCCCUAUGGGUUGUAAACCUCUUUUGUCAGGGAGCAAUUGGCGCUACGUGUAGCGUUAUCGAGAGUACCUGAAGAAAAAGCAUCGGCUAACUCCGUGCCAGCAGCCGCGGUAAUACGUAGGAUGCGAGCGUUAUCCGGAUUUAUUGGGUUUAAAGGGUGCGUAGGCGGAAUGCCAAGUCAGCGGUAAAAUCGCGGGGCUCAACCUCGCUCCGCCGUUGAAACUGGCGUUCUUGAGUGGGCGAGAAGUAUGCGGAAUGCGUGGUGUAGCGGUGAAAUGCAUAGAUAUCACGCAGAACUCCGAUUGCGAAGGCAGCAGACCGGCGCCCAACUGACGCUGAAGCACGAAAGCGUGGGUAUCGAACAGGAUUAGAUACCCUUGUAGUC